UACGGAGGAUGCGAGCGUUAUCCGGAUUUAUUGGGUUUAAAGGGUGCGUAGGCGGUCCGGAAAGUCAGCGGUAAAAGCCCGGGGCUCGACCCCGGCGAGCCGUUGAAACUGUCGGACUAGAGACGGCGAGAAGUACGCGGAAUGCGCGGUGUAGCGGUGAAAUGCAUAGAUAUCGCGCAGAACUCCGAUUGCGAAGGCAGCGUACCGGCGCCGGACUGACGCUGAGGCACGAAAGCGUGGGUAUCGAACAGG
rnacentral:rRNA from 1 species